UUUAAAUAUAUUACUAUUGAGGACGAGUGCUUUUUGGCACUAAUACUCGCCAUAGCAGAAAACGCUAACUAGGAAAAACUCACCUUGCAACCGUUGUACUUAGCAUCCAAGCUACCGCCAUUGUCCAGCAUACCACAUGCAUACUGGCUGUAAAUAUCGCGCAUA